rnacentral:sRNA from 1 species
UGACCUUGUUUACCAAUGAACCUGCUAAUGCUAUAUACAGCAUGUCAUCAAUGAUACCAUAUCCAGAGAAUAAAGAAUAAUAAAGAGUGCAUGCAUCUCUGCUAAUGGCCAUGUAAAGCAUGGCAUUGCAAAAUAAUAGUACACACGGGAGCAAGAUUUGGUCUCAUAGGCAUUGCCUUUGCAUAAUACUCUUCCCUAUGUACAUACGUGUGAAAACAUAAAUGCAAACAUGAAUGCGCAUCAGUAAGGAAAUGAUUUGAGCAACAAAACAUUUUACAAAUAUCAUCAUGGUGGUUCUUAUUGAAAUUGCAUUAAUCUCAAGACUGCAUAUGGUCAUUGUGCUAUUUUCUCUUACGUUCUAUGAUAUAUCUUCUGUAGAAUAAGUGUGUGAGAGAGACAGAGAAUAGCAUUCAAAAAUUACAAAGCUUGAAGGAAAUACCACUACCACUAUGUCAAGAUAAUCUGCAACAAUCUCAACCAAAAUCAUUACUUACUAGAUCGCAGCUUCAUCAACUUCAUUUAAGUCCUAUACGGACCACAUCGCCAGCUCACAAUUCAGAAUUAUACCUAACUUUUGCUUCAUUACCUAGUAAAUGAUCAUAGGCCUUGCAUCAACGGAAUACUUCAUAUGCACAAUUGGUUGGUCGUCAAACUCAAACUCGAUCACCAUGUGAUUCCUAUCAUCUUCCCAUUGGGUUAUGGCAUCCUCGUACACCGAAUGAGCAAAAUAUCCAGCAAAAGAAACCUAAAAUAGUUUAUAAUCUUUUCCUACAUGUUGUCCUAACAUGGUAGG